GAGAGACAGAGAGAGUGUGAGGUGGAGAGAGACAGAGAGAGAGUGUGAGGUGGAGAGAGGGAGAGACAGCGAGAGAGUGUGAGGUGGAGAGAGACAGAGAGAGAGUGUGAGGUGGAGAGAGGGAGAGACAGCAAGAGAGUGUGAGGUGGAAAAAGGGAGAGACAGAGAGAGAGUGUGAGGUGGAGAGAGACAGAGAGAGAGUGUGAGGUGGAGAGAGGGAGAGACAGCAAGAGAGUGUGAGGUGGAAAAAGGGAGAGACAGAGAGAGAGAGUGUGAGGGGAACAGAGAGAGACAGAUGGAGAGACAUAAAGUUCACAGAGUACGGCGUCUGAAUACAUAAACAGUCAGGCAGACCUUUGUUGUCCGAUGCCGGCGUCUGGCUGCUGUUGGGAUU
ensembl:lncRNA